GAAAUGCGAUAAGUAGUGUGAAUUGCAGAAUUCAGUGAAUCAUCGAAUCUUUGAACGCACAUUGCGCCCUUUGGUAUUCCUUAGGGCAUGCCUGUUCGAGCGUCAUCUAAACCUUCAAGCCCUGCUUGGUGUUGGGUGCCUGUCCCGCCUCCGCGAGCGGACUCACCUCAUAUCCAUUGGCGGCCCCCGCGUCGGCCACGAGCGCAGCAGAAACGCGAACUCGUGAGCCCGUCCGGGCGGCUCCCAGAAGCUACACCCACCCAGUUUGACCUCGGAUCAGGUAGGGAUACCCGCUGAACUUAAGC
rnacentral:misc_RNA from 1 species